GCUGGGUGUGGUGGCGCAUCCCUGUGAUCCCAGCAAUUUGGGAAGCUGAGGCAGGAGGGUAGCAAGGUCAAGGCUGACCUCAGCAAUUCAGUGAGAUACUCAGCAAUUUAGCAAGACCCUGUCUCAA
rnacentral:sRNA from 1 species